rnacentral:rRNA from 1 species
GGCUUCAGGGAUUGAACACUAGGCGGCAGGCUUAACACAUGCAAGUCGAGGGGUAACAGGGAACUUCGGUUCUGCUGACGACCGGCGCACGGGUGAGUAACGCGUAUGCAACCUACCUGUAACAGGGGGAUAGCCCGAAGAAAUUCGGAUUAAUACCCCAUAAUAUUUUCGAGAAGCAUUUCUUGAAUCUUAAAGUUUCGACGGUUACAGAUGGGCAUGCGUGACAUUAGUUAGUUGGUAAGGUAACGGCUUACCAAGACUACUGUGAUGUUUACGGGGUCUUAAAGGAUGGUCCCGCACACUGGUACUGAGACACGGACCAGACUCCUACGGGAGGCAGCAGUGAGGAAUAUUGGUCAAUGGACGCAAGUCUGAACCAGCCAUGCCGCGUGAAGGAUGACGGCCCUACGGGUUGUAAACUUCUUUUAUACAGGAAGAAAAUACCUUACGUGUAAGGUACUGACGGUACUGUAAGAAUAAGGAUCGGCUAACUCCGUGCCAGCAGCCGCGGUAAUACGGAGGAUCCAAGCGUUAUCCGGAUUUAUUAGGUUUAAAAGGGUGCGCAGGCGGGAAGAUAAGUCAGCGGUGAAAUCCUGUAGCUCAACUACAGAACUGCCGUUGAUACUGUUUUUCUUGAGUUCGGUUGAGGUAAGCGGAAUGUGUAGUGUAGCGGUGAAAUGCUUAGAUAUUACACAGAACACCAAUUGCGAAGGCAGCUUACUAAACCGUUACUGACGCUGAGGCACGAAAGCGUGGGGAGCGAACAGGAUUAGAUACCCUGGUAGUCCACGCCGUAAACGAUGAUUACUCGUUGUGUGCAAUAUACUGUACGUGACUGAGCGAAAGCAUUAAGUAAUCCACCUGGGGAGUACGUCGGCAACGAUGAAACUCAAAGGAAUUGACGGGGGCCCGCACAAGCGGAGGAACAUGUGGUUUAAUUCGAUGAUACGCGAGGAACCUUACCCGGGCUUAAAUGGAGCAACACUUCGGUGUUAGAUCAAGAGAUUGACUUAAAGUUUCAAGGUGCUGCAUGGCUGUCGUCAGCUCGUGCCGUGAGGUGUCGGGUUAAGUCCCAUAACGAGCGCAACCCCUAUCAUUAGUUGCCAGCGGGUAAUGCCGGGGACUCUAAUGAGACUGCCGUCGUAAGGCGAGAGGAAGGUGGGGAUGACGUCAAGUCAGCACGGCCCUUAUGUCCGGGGCUACACACGUGUUACAAUGGCCAGUACAGAGAGCUGCCACCUGGCGACAGGGAGCUAAUCUUCAAAACUGGUCUUAGUUCGGAUUGAAGUCUGCAACUCGACUUCAUGAAGCUGGAUUCGCUAGUAAUCGUAGAUCAGCAACGCUACGGUGAAUACGUUCCCGGGCCUUGUACACACCGCCCGUCAAGCCAUGGAAGCCGGGAGUGCCUGAAGUCUGUAACCGCAAGGAGCGGCCUAGGGUAAAACUGGUAACUGGGGCUAAGUCGUAACAAGGGUA